rnacentral:rRNA from 1 species
GAUGAACGCUGGCGGCGUGCCUAAUACAUGCAAGUCGAGCGAACGGACGAGAAGCUUGCUUCUCUGAUGUUAGCGGCGGACGGGUGAGUAACACGUGGAUAACCUACCUAUAAGACUGGGAUAACUUCGGGAAACCGGAGCUAAUACCGGAUAAUAUUUUGAACCGCAUGGUUCAAAAGUGAAAGACGGUCUUGCUGUCACUUAUAGAUGGAUCAGCGCUGCAUUAGCUAGUUGGUAAGGUAACGGCUUACCAAGGCAACGAUGCAUAGCCGACCUGAGAGGGUGAUCAGCCACACUGGAACUGAGACACGGUCCAGACUCCUACGGGAGGCAGCAGUAGGGAAUCUUCCGCAAUGGGCGAAAGCCUGACGGAGCAACGCCGCGUGAGUGAUGAAGGUCUUCGGAUCGUAAAACUCUGUUAUUAGGGAAGAACAUAUGUGUAAGUAACUGUGCACAUCUUGACGGUACCUAAUCAGAAAGCCACGGCUAACUACGUG